AACCAGCUCUUCAAGUGGUCGGGAUAAUUAUUGGGCUUAAAGUGUCCGUAGCCGGUUUGGUAAGUUCCUGGUAAAAUCGGAUAGCUUAACUAUCUGCAUGCUAGGAAUACUACCAUACUAGAGGGCGGGAGAGGUCUGAGGUACUACAGGGGUAGGGGUGAAAUCUUAUAAUCCUUGUAGGACCACCAGUGGCGAAAGCGUCAGACUGGAACGCGCCUGACGGUGAGGGACGAAAGCCGGGGGAGCGAACCGGAUUAGAUACCCCGGGUAGCCCUGGCUGUAAACGAUGCAUACUAGGUGAUGGUACGGCCAUGAGCCGUAUCAGUGCCGUAGGGAAACCGUUAAGUAUGCCGCCUGGGAAGUACGGUCGCAAGGCUAAAACUUAAAGGAAUUGGCGGGGGAGCACCACAAGGGGUGAAGCCUGCGGUUU
rnacentral:rRNA from 1 species